rnacentral:sRNA from 1 species
GAGGGUGAGGUCGGUGCGCGGUGGCGUCACGGCGCCAGCUCCUCCCGACGCUGAGGUGGGUUCCGGGAGACCCGCGGGUCUGGCUGCGAGAGAUUUGGUAACUCGAGGUGUCCCUGGAGUACACUGAGGAUAAGUGUUUGAGAAAUGCUGUCUGAAGGAAUGAAAUCAGUCUAUGACAACGUCUCUCUGCUGUGAAUCAUUCCUGCAGAUGAAAAAGUGUGACUUGGCAGCUGGGCUCUGGGCUACUUGGGAUACUGAAAGAAAAAAAAAAAAACCCAAAAAUAAAAACAAAAAAGAGAAGGCCGAUUUCCUGGAGUGCAGAGGUUUACAGCUUGAUGAGAAAACAUAAACGCAAAGAAAAACAGAAUGGCAAACACCACGUGUCAACAAGGAUACAGGCGACUGCUCCGGGGUCAAGGGAGACCUGAUGAGGGGCUGGGGAAGUUAGGAAAAGGUGUAAUGGAGGAGGGUGGGACUCUAGCUAGGACCUGAAGGAAAGGCUGGAUUUAAACCAGGGGAGGGGAGAGGAGAGGGCGUUUCAGGGAGGAAGUUGAGGGUGUACAGGAUGUGCCUGAGGCGGCAGAUAAGUUUCUCUGGAGCACAGGGUUCCUACAGGAAAGUGUUGGGAA